UUUUCCAUAUCAAUAAGCGGGGGGAUAGAAACCAACUGGGAUUACCUUAGUAACGGCGAGUGAAGCGGUAAAAGCUCAAAUUUGAAAUCUGGUACUUUCAGUGCCCGAGUUGUAAUUUGUAGAAUUUGUCUUUGAUUAGGUCCUUGUCUAUGUUCCUUGGAACAGGACGUCAUAGAGGGUGAGAAUCCCGUUUGGCGAGGAUACCUUUUCUCUGUAAGACUUUUUCGAAGAGUCGAGUUGUUUGGGAAUGCAGCUCAAAGUGGGUGGUAAAUUCCAUCUAAAGCUAAAUAUUGGCGAGAGACCGAUAGCGAACAAGUACAGUGAUGGAAAGAUGAAAAGAACUUUGAAAAGAGAGUGAAAAAGUACGUGAAAUUGUUGAAAGGGAAGGGCAUUUGAUCAGACAUGGUGUUUUUUGCAUGCACUCGCCUCUCGUGGGCUUGGGCCUCUCAAAAAUUUCACUGGGCCAACAUCAAUUCUGGCAGCAGGAUAAAUCAUUAAGAAUGUAGCUACUUCGGUAGUGUUAUAGCUUUUUGGAAUACUGUUAGCCGGGAUUGAGGACUGCGCUUCGGCAAGGAUGUUGGCAUAAUGGUUAAAUGCCGCCCGUCUUGAACCACGGACCA
rnacentral:rRNA from 1 species